CACACACACACAAAAGAUCUGUUACUUCCCUUUUUUAGCCUCACUCCCUAUUUCUCUUCUCACCUGCUAGCAAAAGUCAUAUGAGUAGUAAUUUUAUACCAUUGCUUUUCUUUCUUGCCAUUUAAUUUGCUUCAUCUAUAUGGGUGAAGAAUCCUGGAGAUGAUAAAGAGGGAGGACUCAUAUGAGGCGGAUAGAGAACGUCACUUUUUUCCAAACGCCGAAACCAAUUGCACUUUCUGUUUGUGUUUGUGAUGUUGAGGUUGGUUUGGUUAUUAUAACCCAAGAGGAAAUUAAGCUCUGUGAAUUUUCAAGCACAAGAUGCAAGCUACCUAGAAGACCCUUGCAGCUGAAAAUGCAAAGCAGCGUGUCACAUCGCAGGGGAGGAUCUCUAUACUUGUAAGUAUGGUUCACAUGAUCCCAUGCUCUCUUCCCCUAAUUAUGAAUUAUAGUAUUAGAGCUCGUUUGGCGUAAGCUAUAAGAAGGUAUAGUGGUGGUAUUAAAAUUUAAAAUCACUUUAAUACUUUGUUUGGUUAGCAAAUCUGGUAUAAGUUAUUCCGGGAUUAUAAGUAGUCCGGAAUAACUUAUACCUUGUAAUGAGUGGGGUAAUUAAUACCGGAAUAACUUAUACCUUCUUCUUAGAAAUUAUGUAAUUGUCAUUUUUAAUACAACAUACCAAACAGUAGAUAAAAAAUAAUAGCAGGGUAACUUAUCCCAGCAUAAUUUAUUCCGACAUAAGCCGUAUUCAAACCAAACGACCCCUUGGUAUGCUAAAAAUUUGACUUAGUGUGUACCGGGGAACCCAUCGAAAUUAAUGUAUUUUGGUGCACAUUAGUUAAAGAACGAAGUGGUUAUUAUAUUCACAUAUGGCCAUUAUUUGUUUACAAACUAAUGUUCAUUUUGUUUUAAAUCUUUCCUUUCCUUUUUGGUUUUUCCAAAAUUUGCUAUUCAUUCUUGGUAAAAAUAGUACAGGCUAGUCAGUUUUCGGACUGGUAAUUGAAAAAUAGUCAUCGUUUGCAAAGUCAUUAAAA